UACGGGGGGGGCAAGCGUUGUUCGGAAUUACUGGGCGUAAAGGGCUCGUAGGCGGCCAACUAAGUCGGAUGUGAAAUCCCCAGGCUUAACCUGGGAACUGCAUCCGAUACUGGAUGGCUUGAAUCCGGGAGAGGGAUGCGGAAUUCCAGGUGUAGCGGUGAAAUGCGUAGAUAUUAGGAAGAACACCAGUGGCGAAGGCGGCUCACUGGCCCGGUACUGACGCUGAGGCGCGAAAGCGUGGGGAGCAAACAGG
rnacentral:rRNA from 1 species